GACGAACCGUGCGAACGUUGUUCGGAAUCACUGGGCUUAAAGGGCGCGUAGGCGGGCACGCAAGUCAGGGGUGAAAUCCUCCGGCUCAACCGGAGAACAGCUUUUGAUACUGCGUGCCUCGAGGGGGGUAGGGGCAUGUGGAACUUCCGGUGGAGCGGUGAAAUGCGUAGAUAUCGGAAGGAACGCCGGUGGCGAAAGCGGGUUGCUGGGCUGACACUGACGCUGAUGCGCGAAAGCUAGGGGAGCGAACGGG
rnacentral:rRNA from 1 species